UACGGAGGGGACUAGCGUUGUUCGGAAUUACUGGGCGUAAAGCGCGCGUAGGCGGAUUUGCAAGUCGGGGGUGAAAGCCCGAGGCUCAACCUCGGAACUGCCCUCGAUACUGCAAAUCUCGAGUCCGAGAGUGGUGAGUGGAAUUCCUAGUGUAGAGGUGAAAUUCGUAGAUAUUAGGAAGAACACCAGUGGCGAAGGCGGCUCACUGGCUCGGUACUGACGCUGAGGCGCGAAAGCGUGGGGAGCAAACAGG
rnacentral:rRNA from 1 species